AACAGGAUUAGAUACCCUGGUAGUCCACGCCCUAAACGAUGUCUACUAGUUGUCGGGACCUAAUUGUCUUGGUAACGCAGCUAACGCGUGAAGUAGACCGCCUGGGGAGUACGGUCGCAAGAUUAAAACUCAAAGGAAUUGACGGGGACCCGCACAAGCGGUGGAUGAUGUGGAUUAAUUCGAUGCAACGCGAAAAACCUUACUUACCCUUGACAUGGCAGGAAUCCUGAAGAGAUUUAGGAGUGCUCGCAAGAGAACCUGCACACAGGUGCUGCAUGGCUGUCGUCAGCUCGUGUCGUGAGAUGUUGGGUUAAGUCCCGCAACGAGCGCAACCCUUGUCAUUAGUUGCUACGAAAGGGCACUCUAAUGAGACUGCCGGUGACAAACCGGAGGAAGGUGGGGAUGACGUCAAGUCCUCAUGGCCCUUAUGGGUAGGGCUUCACACGUCAUACAAUGGUACAUACAGAGGGCUGCCAACCCGCGAGGGGGAGCUAAUCCCAGAAAGUGUAUCGUAGUCCGGAUUGUAGUCUGCAACUCGACUACAUGAAGUUGGAAUCGCUAGUAAUCGCGGAUCAGCAUGUCGCGGUGAAUACGUUCCCGGGUCUUGUACACACCGCCCGUCACACCAUGGGAGCGGGUUCUGCCAGAAGUAGGUAGCUUAACCGUAAGGAGGGCGCUUACCACGGCAGGGUUCGUGACUGGGGUGAAGUCGUAACAAGGUAACC
rnacentral:rRNA from 1 species